rnacentral:rRNA from 1 species
ACUACGGGAGGCAGCAGUGGGGGAUAUUGCACAAUGGGGGGAACCCUGAUGCAGCGACGCCGCGUGGGUGAAGAAGCGCCUCGGCGCGUAAAGCCCUGUCAGCAGGGAAGAAAAUGACGGUACCUGAAGAAGAAGCCCCGGCUAACUACGUGCCAGCAGCCGCGGUAAUACGUGGGGGGCAAGCGUUAUCCGGAUUUACUGGGUGUAAAGGGGGCGCAGACGGCGAUGCAAGCCAGGAGUGAAAGCCCGGGGCCCAACCCCGGGACUGCUCUUGGAACUGCGUGGCUGGAGUGCAGGAGGGGCAGGCGGAAUUCCUGGUGUAGCGGUGAAAUGCGUAGAUAUCAGGAGGAACACCGGUGGCGAAGGCGGCCUGCUGGACUGCAACUGACGUUGAGGCCCGAAAGCGUGGGGAGCAAACAGGAUUAGAUACCCGUGUAGUC